GGGGGGAACGAGCGUUGUUCGGAUUUACUGGGCGUAAAGGGUGCGUAGGCGGGUCAGCAAGUCGGGUGUGAAAGUUCACGGCUUAACUGUGAAUCUGCAUUCGAAACUGCCGGUCUUGAGUACUGGAGAGGUGAGUGGAAUUCCUGGUGUAGCGGUGAAAUGCGUAGAUAUCAGGAGGAACACCGUUGGCGAAGGCGGCUCACUGGACAGAUACUGACGCUGAGGCACGAAGGUCGGGGGAGCAAACAGGAUUAGAUACCCUGGUAGUCCCGACGGUAAACGAUGGGCACUAGGUGUCGGAGGUAUCGACCCCUCCGGUGCCGCAGUUAACACAUUAAGUGCCCCGCCUGGGGAGUACGGCCGCAAGGUUGAA
rnacentral:rRNA from 1 species